GAUGAACGCUGGCGGCGUGCCUAAUACAUGCAAGUCGAGCGAACAGAUGAGGAGCUUGCUCCUCUGACGUUAGCGGCGGACGGGGGAGUAACACGUGGAUAACCUACCUAUAAGACUGGGAUAACUUCGUGAAACCGGAGCUAAUACCGGAUAAUAUAUUGAACCGCAUGAUUCAAUAGUGAAAGACGGUUUUGCUGUCACUUAUAGCUGAAUCCGCGCCGCAUUAGCUAGUUGGUAAGGUAACGGCUUACCAAGGCAACGAUGCGUAGCCGACCUGAGAGGGUGAUCGGCCACACUGGAACUGAGACACGGUCCAGACUCCUACGGGAGGCAGCAGUAGGGAAUAUUGCGCAAUGGGCGAAAGCCUGAUGGAGCAACGCCGCGUGAGUGAUGAAGGUCUUCGGAUCGUAAAAUUCUGUUAUUAGGGAAGAACAAAUGUGUAAGUAACUAUGCACGCAUUGACGGUACCUAAUGAGAAAGCAACGGCUAACUACGUG
rnacentral:rRNA from 1 species